rnacentral:misc_RNA from 1 species
AAAAAUUCAGAGUGUUUGCGCAUUCGAAUUUCCACCCUGCGUAUCUGUUACCGUAAGCUUUCGCCGGGCCGCGGAGCGAGGUCCACCCUUCGGGGUGCGCCCGCCUCCCCUUCUGACCGGGCAACAGCCCUCUCGGGAGAGUCCUGGCGGGAGCCAACCAAACAAACCCAUUUCUGUUGCGUAUAGUCUGAUGGUGAUCUAAAAAAUCAAUCA